UACAGAGGUCCCAAGCGUUGUUCGGAUUCACUGGGCGUAAAGGGUGCGUAGGAGGCUGGGAAAGUCGGAUGUGAAAUCUCACCGCUUAACGGUGAAACUGCAUUCGAUACUACUCGGCUAGAGGAUCGGAGGGGAGAGCAGAAUUCUUGGUGUAGCGGUGAAAUGCGUAGAUAUCAAGAGGAAUACCAACAGCGUAGGCAGCUCUCUGGAAGAUUCCUGACUCUGAGGCACGAAGGCCAGGGGAGCAAACGGG
rnacentral:rRNA from 1 species